GCUAUCCUGGUAAAAGAUGUUUCAGGAAACUUCCAUUUAGGAUAUCUAUGUCUAGUGAAAUAGAGGUCACUCUCCAUGCCAAAAUUUGAUGCUCUAAUAACAACUAAAACUUGAACUGAUCAGAAAAGUGAUGGCCUUCUGCCAUGUCAUUAAGAGAGUAGGGAAAAACUUCAGGUGAAUUUUUUACUGAAUGGUGUGGAAGGUCCUUAGUUGCAAGCAUUUCACCCCAGACUGUGACAUGCUCUUGAACUUAUAUUGCAGAGUCCCUUGCUAUCACUGUAAGAGCACGUCUUCCAUCCAGGUCUACCAGAGUUUACCUUCAUGAGGCUACUGACUGUUUUGACCAACAGCUUAAACAAGGUGAGAAAUUGGAAAUUCUGGAACUUUCUUAAUCGUAUUUGAAGUCUGAACUGGAAACACGAGUCUCGUGUGCUUCCAUGGCAUCAAACCAUCUUCACCACUUCUGUCUGCCUUUGGAGGACAACUUAGGUGUGAAGCAAGAACAGUUCACUUCAGCUUCCCCCUCUAGCAAGGACAGGGGCUAUGGAAGACAACAGCUCUUAUAAGAACUGUAUCCUAUUUCUGCUACCAGUCUAUGUAAAAAUGUCACCACAGCCCUCUAGAAGCAAGUUGGGCACUACUUCCUUGCUUCUAGGAAGUUUGUCUGCCUUGAAAUAAAUCCUGUGAUUAAAGAAGGCUGCAGGUUUUUAAGGGAAGCAUCCUUAACUGAAUUGUUUUACGAUCUUCCCCACCACAGCUUUGGGAAGACUGUCCCAUUAUGGGCAUUCACAAUUGCCACCUCCUUCAUAGAUGAUGGAUAGAGGACCACAGGCCAGAGAAAGACUACUAUGAUCUGUAUGUGAUGUAUGACAGGAGUAGGGUACUUGGCAGAGGGAAAUGGUUUAUCACAUCUAAUAUAUGGGAAUAGUUCGAAGAACAUCAAAGCCAAGGUAAACUCCAGCCUCUCUCCUGUGCCAAGCACCUUCCCUUUGCAAUUAUAGAAUCAUCAAAUCAUUAUGAUUGGAAAAGACCACAAAGAUCUAGUCCAAUCAGUGUUGCUGCGCCCACUAAUUCUUUUUUUUUUUUUCUUUUUCCCCAUCAUGCCUUCUUUUCCUCUUAUCAUCUGCUUUUCCAUGAUCAGGACAGAAAUCCUCCCAUGAUACUAGAUCCCUUUCCCAACAUUUUGCAAGUGUUUUCCCCAAACCCCUCUAUUUGUGGAGUACAUCUGAAUGACCCAGAGCAGCUAAUGCAUCAAAAUGCAUCACUUGGUGGGGAAAUUAAACUGUAACCUGAAAAUGUAGUAGGGAGGAGUCUCGGUUUAGCAAUUUUGCAGCUUCUUGAGUCACCCAUGUGGAGGCAAGCAGCUGCUGGGCAACGGAGUGAUGCAUAUGCUGCAGUGGAAAGGCACCUGUGCUAACAAUAGCUCAUAUGCAUGAAGCAUCUUCCAGGAUCCAGAGAGACUUCAGAAAGUCUCAAGAAGAUAUAAAGUACAUAUGUGGAGUUCUUCAUUGUCCCCUGCAGUGAUGUGGAAGUAAGGUCUUAUGAAGAGAGUUUGCACACAUCUGCAGGCUUUGGAGGAGUCCUUUCCUGCUCCAUAGUACCUAAAAAAAACAACAACUGUGCAGCAAGAUCAAAGCCUGCCUAAGCAAACUCAAGAACUUUUCUCACUUAAACAAGUCCAGAAAAAGUCACAGAGAUUUCCAGAUACUUUAAAUAAAUGUGCUUUUAACUUACUGGUUUCCAACACCUUCUUCAUUGGUGCCGUCUGGUGAUGUGACUGAACACAGCAAAGAGUAAAUCCCAAAUCUAGAUGUGAAGCGGGGCUUAGUCAAUGCUCCUGGAGUGGCAUUUCAUGUCUCACCUUUUUCUUCACCUUCUGUUAUUGAUGUUCAUAAACAGCACAGACUGAUUUCUGAUCUCAGUUUCACUCCAGCAAAGAAAUUAUGUCAAUUUUCAGUUGGUGAAACUUGAU